rnacentral:lncRNA from 1 species
AAUUUUUGUUAAUUUUUUUAUUCUAUUUAUUACAUUAAGGUUAGAGAAUACAGCCUGUAUGACUUCUCACUUUUCCGUAAUUCUAAUCCACCUGACUCAGGUCUGUUCUCUGGUCCCUCUUAAAUUUUUGUUCCUCUUUCAUGGGAUGCUCCAAUAAAUAAUUGACAGCAGUUACUUAGUGGUCUCUAUGGAGGGAGGGGAGUGUGCAGUCCUCCCCGGAGCCUUUUUCGUCUUCUGAGGGCUUCUUAAACUAUUCAGAUGGCUCACGUUUCUGCCCCCCAUCCCAUCACCAUCACUGUGUGCUGAGACAGAAAAGGAAAAUCUGCUCCAAGUUAGACAUUCUCGGUAGGACGGGUGUGGCGUGCCCUCACUGUCUGGGGUUCAUCUCUGGAGCUGUUUGAGUCUCUCCACGUCCCUCCUUGGUAAACCUACAAAGUCAACACGGUGCUCGCAGCCUGCAGGGAGCUGUACGUCUCUCUCUUUUGCCCUAGAGGCUGUACUUCUCUUAUGUUUCAAAGGAAGCUUUGUCUUUAUUAUAGCCCAGACCAUCAAGUAAAGCCCCCUGCCAGCGUUUCUCACACUGUGUUCCAUGGAAAACCAGUCUCGUAGAUAUUAAUAGGCGAUGUAUAGAAAGGGGUCUGUUUGGGGACUGCUGAAUUAAACAAAGAGAACUGACCACCAUGGGCAUCUCAGAGCCUUUGUAUUCUGUGUUAAUUGACUUUGUAAGAGGAGAAGGAAGCAUGGUUGUGUUUCCCAAACUAAUCUGGAAUGCACCCCUUCUGUGGGACACGAAGUCAGUGUUCCAGAACAGACACUGUAUGCCAUGCUGCCCAACGCCCUAUUUUCAAAUGUACUCCUAUGAAGCCUUUUGUUUGUCUUGAUCAAAUUUUAUUUAGCCCAGUGAUUAGAGUCAGUUCUUAACGCUACCCUUUCAGUGGGUUUGUAUCUUGAUUUUACAAUCUAGUGUUUCUGCCACCCCUCUGGGAUUCUUACUGCCGACAGAGCAGAUCAGCCUGACACCUGUAUUCUCACGUAAUGCACAGAUAAGCGCUCAGAAAGGACAGGGCCUUGCAGUGUGCCCCUGGCAUAGGGAGGACUCACAUUUCAUUCCAUGGAAGGACUUCGAUUGGUGGAGGCUGCCUAAACCAGCACCUGUGAGACUUCCUUGUGCAGGCAUGAAUUCAAUUUUUCCAGCCCUCAGGAUUUUAGAAACAACCUUUGGAAGGCAUCACAUAAGGUCUAUUAAUUAUUUGGUUAAUUGUGUCCUUUUAUUUGUUUUGUUGUGUGGUUAUAUAAAAAGAUAUAUCUUACCUCUCAGUCUAGUUUUGGUCACCAGCCUUCAAGAGGGUCCUCAUGAUCAUCACCUUGUAGUGUUCAUGCCCUUGUGUAGUCCCCUCCCACCUUGAACCUAGGCUACACUGUGUGAUCAGAAGUGAUAGUGUGUGUCUUCCAAGGCCAGGUCACAACAGACAUGACAGCUUCUGCAGUAGCCUCUUGAAUUGCUUGCUCUGGGGGAAACCAGCCUCUAUGCCAUGAGGCCACUCAAGCAGCCUCAUGGAGGAGUCCAUACAGUGAGGAACCAACUUGCCACGCAUGAGAAUGAGCCUCAGCCAAGCCUCCAGACCACAGCAGCCCUGGCUGACAACUGACUGUGACCUCAAAAGAGACCCUGAGCCAGAAACACUCAGCCAAGCCACUCUCAAAUUCCUGAAUUGCAGAAACUGGGAGACGAUAAAUGCUUAUCACUUAAACCACUAAAUUUAGAGUAAUUUGUUACACAGCCAUAGUAACGAAUGCACAAGUCCUUGAGCUCAUAGCAUUAAUCAACAUUUUGGUUUUUUUUUAAGAUUGGCCCUGAGAUAACAUCUGUUGCCAAUCUUUUUUUUUUCUUAUCCUUCUUCCCCCUCAAAACUCCCCAGUACAUAGUUGUAUAUUCUAGUUGUACGUCCUUCUAGUUGUGCUAUGUGGUACGCUGUCUCAGCAUGGCUUGAUGAGCAGUGCUAGGUCCAUGCCCAGGAUCCGAACUGGCAAAACCCUGGGACGCCGAAGCUGAGAGCACAGACUUAACCACUUGGCCAUGGGGCCGGCCCCUGAAGAUAUUUUCUUAAAUCAGGAAAAUCCCAGGACUUCCUACCACUUGCAGGGGGAAACCAGGCUCUUUGUGCCCCUGAAACCCAUUCAGCUUAAUUCAUCAGAAGUUUAGUGAGCACCUGCUGUGUGUCGGUCCCACAUGAGGUUCUCAGGGUUCAAGGACAGAACAUACCGCUUUCCUCCAAGAGCCCGCAUUUUAGCAGGAGAGGCAGUCUCACACGCAGUAGUAACAAGGCAGUGAAACAGAAGUUCCUGGUACGCUGCGGUAGUGGGGUGGGGGAACAGACAGGAUGGGGGCACCACAGAGCUGGUGGGGCCUUGAGAAAAAAGCAAAACUUUUUCCAGGUGAAGUGAGAAUGCAGGACUAGGAAAAAAGCAUUCAUUCUAGGUAGAGAGGGCAGGUAACAUGAAUUAACAGCCAGUCGGAUGAGUCUGGGGACUGGAAAGGUGGGGUGGGGCCAGUGGGAAGGGCCUUGAAGGCCAUGCUAAGGAAUGUGGCCUGUCUUCUGCAGGCAGAGAGGGGUAAGUGAUGGAGGGUGGUAUUAGGAGCAAGCUUUGUGGGUUUUAAAAGGUUUUAAGUCAGACCAAAGUUAAUCCUGAUAAUUUUUAAAAAGGCACUCUGAAGAAAAUGUAGAGAAACUGAGGCAGAGAGCCUUGUGGUGAGCUAUUGUUUAGGCAAGAGCUGAUGAUGUCCUGAGUUAGGAUGGUGGUUGUAGGAGUGGAGAUGAAGGGACAGAUUCAAGGGCCAUUUCAAAGAUGGAGGAGUCAAAAUAUGGUGUCGGUUACUUCCAUCUUCCAUCCUUAGAUUCUAGGGUUAGAGAUGGAAUAACCCUAAAGAAGGUCUAAGAUAAUACUGUCAUAAAUCAGGUUCCCUAGAAGCAGAGCCUGAGGCAGGGAUUCAGAUGCACAUGACUUAUUGGAGGAGAGCUUCCAGAAGAAGACGAGGGAGGGAAGCAGAAUGAUGUGGAGGAAGAAGCUGAGAAGGAUGUGGUUUCACAUGGAAUGCGGCCUUAGUGUCAUCCCAAAGAGAGCUCUGUAGCAUGAAUAGCACUACAGUGUUGGUUUCACCUUGAGGCAAGAGGGUCCGCCUUUUAUACAACAGGGUCAGGUUACCUCCCACGUAAGGAGACUCUGGUUGGCCAAGAACAAUUCUCUGGAGAAGGAGGCAGUUAUAAGUCAUCAGCAACCAAUACUCACAGCAGCUGGGGGAGGGAUCCACCCGGCAGGUGUUAUGGGCUGAAUUGUGUCACCCCCCCAGAUUAAAAUGUUGAAAUCCUAACCCCUAGUACCUAAGAAUGUGACAGUAUUUGGAGAUAGGGCCUUUAAAGAGGUGAUUAAACUAAAACGAGGCCGUUAGAGUGGCCCUAAUGCAAUCUGACUGGUGUCCUUAUAAGAAGAAGAGUUUAGGACGCAGAGACAGAUACUAGGAGUACGCACACAGAGAGAAAAGGCCAUGGAACAGCAUAGAGAGAAGGCAGCCAUCUACAAUCCAGGCUGAGAGAAGAAACUCAUCCUGCUGACACUUUGAUCUCGGACCUCCAGCCCUCAGAACUGUGAGAAAUACAUUUCUGUUGUUUAAGCCCCCAGUCUCUGGUGUUUUGUUAUGGCGGCCCCAGCAAUCUAAUGUAAUAGGUAAACAGUCUCUGGAUGACACCAGCAGCGUCUACUGCAUCUUCAUUUAUGCUCUUCGUCAACACCAUUUCUCUUUUCCUUCCCCACCUCCCUCCCCAAAACAGUUCACUUAAAUCUGUCUUCUUCCUUCUCUUCAUUAGAAGCAACAGCACCAAUUAUAGAAACCAGCUAAUUUCCUAGAUGGAAUAUCAGUGGCCUGCGCCAGACAGGUGCCAACCAGUUUUGACAUUUCAAUGGAAACAGUACAACCAGGCUAGACAUUUAUGGUCUUUCAGUUAAAAUGAGCAAUAAACCUCCAGGCUACGAAGAGCUAAAGAACUGUUCCGGAGACCUCCAUUGAAGAGCAGAUCAGAAACGUAAGGAGACAGAGCUGGCUAAACUUUCUGAGAUGAGAUUUUAAUUUGUGUGACCAUCACUGAGGUUAAUAUUUAUUGAUGGCUAAUUUUCCUUCCAAUGCUGGAUUUUUCUUGUUCAACAAUAACUCUAUCAAUCUAGUUUCCAUGUAACAAGGGCAAUUCUUCAGCCUCCCAGUUUGCUGAAACAAUGAGUUUGCAAGCAGUGGGCGCCAAGUCUGGUAAAUUUAUCCUUUAGGGCUUGGUAGGGUUGAGUAAGAACUUUGGCUUGUUCUCUAGGCAAGAUCCAGAGCCAUUGGAAGGUGUACUGUAUUAGUUUACCAUGGGGCCAAAAGAAGUGCCACAGACUGGUUGACUUAAACAACAGAAAUUUCUUUCCCCACAGUUCUGUGGGCUGGAAGUCUAUCAAGGUGUCGGCAGGUCUGGUUUCCUCUGAGGCCUCUCUCCUCGGUCGCCUUCUCCCUGUGUCUUCACAUGGUCCUCCCUCUGUGUGUCUGUGUCCAAACUUCCUCCUCUUAGGAGCACACCAGUCAUAUUGGGUCAGGGCCCACCCUAAUGACCUCAUUUUAACUGAAUUGCCUCUUUAAGGCCUCUAUCCCCAAAUACAGUCACAUUCUGAGGCUCUGAGGGUUAGGACUUCAACAUAGGAAUUUUGAGGGGACACAAUUCAGCCCAUAACAGAGGGUUCUGAACAGGAGAGAGGCAGGACCUAAUUUUUUGAGGGAUCAGUCUGGCUGUCACGUGGAGAAUGACUGUGGGAAAGCAAGGGCGGUAAGGGCGCCUGCCAGGAGCCUACUCCAGACUCCAGAGGAGAGACGAUGAUGUUGUGACUAGGGUGCCAGCAGUGGCGAUGGUGAGAAGGGAUCAGAUUCGGAACGCAGUUUGGAGGUAAAGCUGAGAGGAUUUGCUGAUGGGUUGGACAUAGGGUGUGAGAAAAAGAGAAAACCCUGAGAGUCCCCCAGAAGGCUGGCGGAGGGUGAGUUCUCUCUGUGCAGUUCACAGACCUCAUGAUCUGCUACCUCAGCGUUUUUCAAACUUAUCAGAUCGCAAGAAUUACUGAGAUGAUUAUUAAAAACACAGAUUCCUGGGGCUGGCACCAUCGCCUGGUGGUUAAGUUCAGCGUGCGCCACUUUGGCAGCUUGGGUUUGGUUCCCGGGUGCAGACCUACACCACUCU